GCUAACGUAGCUUAAAUUAAAGCAUAACACUGAAGAUGUUAAAAUGGGCCCUAGAAAGCCCCGUGGGCA
rnacentral:tRNA from 1 species